rnacentral:tRNA from 1 species
CGCCCUCGUAGCUCAGUCGGAUAGAGCGACCGCCUCCUAAGCGGUAGGCCGCAGGUUCGAUUCCUGCCGAGGGCGCCCA